GGAGCCGGCCUUGAAAUACCACCCUUUAAUGUUUGAUGUUCUAACGUGGACCCGUGAUCCGGGUUGCGGACAGUGUCUGGUGGGUAGUUUGACUGGGGCGGUCUCCUCCUAAAGAGUAACGGAGGAGCACGAAGGUUGGCUAAUCCUGGUCGGACAUCAGGAGGUUAGUGCAAUGGCAUAAGCCAGCUUGACUGCGAGCGUGACGGCGCGAGCAGGUGCGAAAGCAGGUCAUAGUGAUCCGGUGGUUCUGAAUGGAAGGGCCAUCGCUCAACGGAUAAAAGGUACUCCGGGGAUAACAGGCUGAUACCGCCCAAGAGUUCAUAUCGACGGCGGUGUUUGGCACCUCGAUGUCGGCUCAUCACAUCCUGGGGCUGAAGUAGGUCCCAAGGGUAUGGCUGUUCGCCAUUUAAAGUGGUACGCGAGCUGGGUUUAGAACGUCGUGAGACAGUUCGGUCCCUAUCUGCCGUGGGCGCUGGAGAACUGAGGGGGGCUGCUCCUAGUACGAGAGGACCGGAGUGGACGCAUCACUGGUGUUCGGGUUGUCAUGCCAAUGGCACUGCCCGGUAGCUAAAUGCGGAAGAGAUAAGUGCUGAAAGCAUCUAAGCACGAAACUUGCCCCGAGAUGAGUUCUCCCUGACCCUUUAAGGGUCCUGAAGGAACGUUGAAGACGACGACGUUGAUAGGCCGGGUGUGUAAGCGCAGCGAUGCGUUGAGCUAACCGGUACUAAUGAACCGUGAGGCUUAACCUUACAACGCCGAAG
rnacentral:rRNA from 1 species